rnacentral:rRNA from 1 species
CCUACGGGGAGCAGCAGUGGGGGAUAUUGCACAAUGGGGGGAACCCUGAUGCAGCGACGUCGCGUGUGGGAAGACGGUCCUCUGGAUUGUAAACCACUGUCCCCAGGGACGAAAAUGACGGUACCUGGGGAGGAAGCUCCGGCUAACUACGUGCCAGCAGCCGCGGUAAUACGUAGGGAGCGAGCGUUGUCCGGAAUUACUGGGUGUAAAGGGAGCGUAGGCGGGGAUGCAAGUUGGGUGUCAAAACUACCGGCUCAACUGGUAUUCGCACUCAAAACUGCAGCUCUUGAGUGAAGUAGAGCCGGGGGGAAUCCCAGGGGUAGCGGGGAAAGGGGU